rnacentral:rRNA from 1 species
AUCUUUGAUCCUGGCUCAGGACGAACGCUGGCGGUGCGCCUUAUGCAUGCAAGUUGAGCGAAGCUUUUUGGUAGUUUACUACUAGAAAUGACUGAGCGGCGAACGGGUGAGUAACGCGUGAGCAAUCUACCUUAGUUACUGGGAUAGCCCGAGGAAACUCGGAUUAAUACCGGAUAUUCUUAUUUUUUCACAUGAAGUUUUAAGGAAAGGUCAGCCGAACUAAGAUGAGCUCGCGUUCUAUCAGCUAGUUGGUGGGGUAAAAGCCUACCAAGGCUACGACGGAUAGCUGGUCUGAGAGGACGAUCAGCCACACUGGGACUGAGACACGGCCCAGACUCCUACGGGAGGCUGCAGCAGGGAAUAUUGUGCAAUGAGCGAAAGCUUGACACAGCGACACCGCGUGUGGGAUGACGGUUCUAGGAUUGUAAACCACUUUCAGGAGGGAAGAAAAUGACGGUACCUCCACAAGAAGACCCGGCCAACUAUGUGCCAGCAGCCGCGGUAAUACAUAGGGGUCAAGCGUUGUCCGGAUUUAUUGGGCGUAAAGAGCUCGUAGGCGGUUCAACAAGUCGGUCGUAAAAGUUUAGGGCUCAACCCUAAAAUGUCGAUCGAUACUGUUGUGACUAGGAUACGGUAGAGGUGAAUGGAAUUCCGAGUGUAGCGGUGAAAUGCGUAGAUAUUCGGAGGAACACCAAUUGCGAAGGCAGUUCACUGGACCGUGAUCGACGCUGAGGAGCGAAAGCUAGGGGAGCAAACAGGAUUAGAUACCCUGGUAGUCCUAGCUGUAAACGAUGGAUACUAGAUGUAGGAACUGGAUUGACGGUUUCUGUAUCGUAGCUAACGCGUUAAGUAUCCCGCCUGGGGAGUACGGUCGCAAGACUAAAACUCAAAGGAAUUGACGGGACCCCGCACAAGCGGCGGAGCAUGCGGCUUAAUUCGAUGAUACCCGUAGAACCUUACCUGGACUUGACAUAUAGGGAAAAACUGGAGAAAUUCAGUGUGCGUAAGCGCCCUAUACAGGUGGUGCAUGGCUGUCGUCAGCUCGUGUCGUGAGAUGUUGGGUUAAGUCCC